CGUCGCCGCGGUAAUACGAACCGUGCGAACGUUAUUCGGAAUUACUGGGCGUAAAGCGUGCGCAGGCGGUUGUGUAAGACAGGUGUGAAAUCCCCGGGCUUAACCUGGGAACUGCGCUUGUGACUGCACAGCUAGAGUAUGGCAGAGGGGGGUGGAAUUCCACGUGUAGCAGUGAAAUGCGUAGAGAUGUGGAGGAACACCGAUGGCAAAGGCAGCCCCCUGGGCCAAUACUGACGCUCAUGCACGAAAGCGUGGGGAGCAAACAGGAUUAGAUACCCCUGUAGUCCCUGUCUCUUAUACA
rnacentral:rRNA from 1 species